UACGGAGGGUGCAAGCGUUGUCCGGAUUUAUUGGGUUUAAAGGGUGCGUAGGCGGCUUUUUAAGUCAGCGGUGAAAUACUUCAGCUCAACUGGAGUCGUGCCGUUGAUACUGGGAAGCUUGAGUACUGAUGAAGUGGGCGGAAUUGAAGGUGUAGCGGUGAGAUGCAUAGAUAUCUUCAAGAACACCGAUUGCGAAGGCAGCUCACUAAGGAGUAACUGACGCUGAGGCACGAAAGCGUGGGGAUCAAACAGG
rnacentral:rRNA from 1 species